rnacentral:rRNA from 1 species
CAGCCGCCGCGGUAAUACAGAGGGUGCGAGCGUUAAUCGGAUUUACUGGGCGUAAAGCGUGCGUAGGCGGCUAAUUGAGUCGGAUGUGAAAUCCCCGAGCUUAACUUGGGAAUUGCAUUCGAUACUGGUUAGCUAGAGUGUGGGAGAGGAUGGUAGAAUUCCAGGUGUAGCGGUGAAAUGCGUAGAGAUCUGGAGGAAUACCGAUGGCGAAGGCAGCCAUCUGGCCUAAUACUGACGCUGAGGUACGAAAGCAUGGGGAGCAAACAGGAUUAGAUACCCCCUGUAGUCCCUGUCUCUUAUA